UUUCCGUAGGUGAACCUGCGGAAGGAUCAUUAAUAAUAAGUGUUUAGCGGGACUCUUUUAAAUCCAAAUCCACCUUGUGUAUAAUGUCAGGGUUGAUUUUCAUCACGAGAAGAUCAGCCCCAAACAUCAACUAUACCACAGCACUUUGUCUGAAAAAUAUUAUGAUUAAAACAAUGCAAAAUACAACUUUCAACAACGGAUCUCUUGGCUCUC
rnacentral:misc_RNA from 1 species